rnacentral:rRNA from 1 species
GACGAACGCUGGCGGCGUGCUUAACACAUGCAAGUCGAACGGAAAGGCCCUGCUUUUGUGGGGUGCUCGAGUGGCGAACGGGUGAGUAACACGUGAGUAACCUGCCCUUGACUUUGGGAUAACGUCAGGAAACUGUGGCUAAUACCGGAUAGGAGCUCCUGCUGCAUGGUGGGGGUUGGAAAGUUUGGGCGGUUGGGGAUGGACGCGCGGCUUAUCAGCUUGUUGGUGGGGUAGUGGCUUACCAAGGCUUUGACGGGUAGCCGGCCUGAGAGGGUGACCGGCCACACUGGGACUGAGAUACGGCCCAGACUGCUACCGGAGGCAGGCGUGGGGAAUAAUGCACAAUGGGCGGAAGCCUGAUGGAGGAACGCCGCGUGCGGGAUGACGGCCUUCGGGUUGUAAACCGCUUUCGCCUGUGACGAAGCGUGAGUGACGGUAAUGGGUAAAGAAGCACCGGCUAACUACGUG